UACGAAGGGGGCUAGCGUUGUUCGGAAUUACUGGGCGUAAAGGGCGCGUAGGCGGCCCGUUGAGUCAGAUGUGAAAGCCCCGGGCUUAACCUGGGAACCGCAUUUGAUACUGACGGGCUUGAGUUCCGGAGAGGAUGGUGGAAUUCCCAGUGUAAAGGUGAAAUUCGUAGAUAUUGGGAAGAACACCGGUGGCGAAGGCGGCCAUCUGGACGGACACUGACGCUGAGGCGCGAAAGCGUGGGGAGCAAACAGG
rnacentral:misc_RNA from 1 species